ACCAAUUUAUUAUCCAAUCAUCCAUAGCCGAAUACACAUAUUUCUUUCAUUCAUUCUUAACAAAAUUUUAUCAAGCCUAAAUCUCCAUUCCAUCAUUUUAAAAUGCAAACAUAACUCAAAUGUUAUCUAAAUUCACAUUUGGCAACUACACAUACACACAAGUCGAUUUCCCCUUAUCAUCUAAUCCACCUAUAUGAACAUUUA
rnacentral:lncRNA from 1 species